rnacentral:rRNA from 1 species
GAUGAACGCUAGCGACAGGCUUAACACAUGCAAGUCGAGGGGCAGCGAGGGCGUAGCAAUACGCCUGUCGGCGACCGGCGCACUGGUGAGUAACACGUAUGCGACCUGCCCCCUACAGGGGUAUAACCCGUAGAAAUGCGGACUAAUCCCCCAUAGUCCCGCGGGCUGCAUGGCCUGCGGGGGAAAGGGUUUCCGGUAGGGGAUGGGCAUGCGGCGCAUUAGCUAGUUGGCGGGGCAACGGCCCACCAAGGCGACGAUGCGUAGGGGUUCUGAGAGGAAGGUCCCCCACACUGGUACUGAGACACGGACCAGACUCCUACGGGAGGCAGCAGUGAGGAAUAUUGGUCAAUGGGCGCAGGCCUGAACCAGCCAAGUCGCGUGAGGGAUGACGGUCCUACGGAUUGUAAACCUCUUUGUCGGGGAGUAACGUGCGGGACGGGUCCCGUAUUGAGAGUACCCGAGGAAAAGCAUCGGCUAACUCCGUG